UGGAUCUGAGGGCUUUGUCGGACUCUUCAACGAGGUCGACUCCCUUUAAAAGCAUUAGCGGAUUGGCCACUCGUGGAUACGCCUCGAUUUGAUAAUAUCUAUGUCGUCGCGCUGAAGCGGUAGUCUGCUCCUAACCGUCUUCGGACAAUUUACUUUGACAAUUUGACCUCAAAUCAGGUAGGACUACCCGCUGAACUUAA
rnacentral:misc_RNA from 1 species